UGCUGAUCGAGCCUGUAUACGAAACAUCAAGACGGAUUUAAUUGUGGUAAGCACAUAACACAUAUCCCUGGAUAUUUCAGUUAUGUUAAUGUUGUUAUAUUUCCUGAUUACAAAACUUUAUUGUGCACUUAUAGCGCUGUGGAAACCCAGACGGAUCAGCAGCCAGAUGAAACAAUACAAUGCAGACAUGAGCCAUUGCCAGUAUAUGUUCAGCAAGGGGAAACAGCAAUGGAGCCAUAUAAAGAUUCUUAAAGAUUCUCCUAAACAGUACAAAUACAUCCUACAACUUAUAAUGAAGGUAUGUAUAACAUUUUAUGCUUUCCUGAAUCCUAGUGAGAAAAAAGUGACUUUUAGUUUUCAUUAUGAAAUUCCAUAUUCUUUAUAUCACCUUUUCAAACAUAAAUAUUUUGAUCAUUCUGUAGGCAUGUUAAGGGCACAGUAGCACCUGCUGAUUGAUGUGUUUUAAGAGCACUUAAAUGGCUUUUUGGAAAGCCAAAUUUUGAUUUGCAUGAACAUUAACAAAAUCAAAAUACGUGGCUUGAAAAAAGCCAUUCAUGUGUUUUUAAAACAUAUUGGUCAGCAGGCACUAAUGUGCAUUUAAACAGGAAUAAAACUAAUUAUAAGUCUUCUUUAGGUAUGGGGAUUGGUGUUGCAAGUGAUGACCGAAGGCAAAUUGCUCCUAACAUAACCCCUGUCCCUCCUCCUUCAGUCAAAGAACUUGUUGAAACCCAUCAGUCUAGAUUCAACUGAUCACUGUAGACAAGUGUCUGGCACUUAAAACAAAGUGCUCUGGUUAGGUGGAGCUUGUAAUCCCUGAAAGGCAGUCCACCUAGGAGAAGGAACUCUGAUUACAAACUCCCGGACCCAAAUAGUGAGUCAGGCUGUCCAUAUUGGAUUCAUUGAUCUUCGGUGCACAGCAAUACACUUUUCAGGACUGAAGUAAGGAGCAAGGAGUAAUUUUAAAGAAUAAAAAAAUCAAUGUCAAUACAAAAUGUUGUGCUUGAACAUCCAAUGUAUUUGAUAACUGGUCUUUUAUAUAAUGAAAUAUUACUGUUCAUAAACAUUUAACCAUUAACAUGAUAAAGGCUUUCAUUUGUUAGCAAAAUUUGCUGUGGUUAGUAGACAGAGAAAGCUUAUAAUAAGUUUGAAGCAAUUUUGAACUGCAAUUUUCUUCUUUUGGUGUAUGUGUUAGAGUAAAUAAUCAAGCCAUGCAAAGUAAUGUUUCCUGUAAUUUUGCUGAAACACAAAUGCCAAAAGGAGAAAAUCAAAGUUUAAAAUCGCUUGUGUGAACGGGCCUUAACAGGUGUGAAUUACCCAAGUUCUUUCAAAAUAUUUAAAAUGAUCCUCCCUGUCAUGGGGAGAUAAUUGCAG